UUUCACAGCUGCUUAAGAGUUUUCAUACUUAAAUAUGACUGUGUGUUAUUUAAGGCUUUUUAAGUUAACCACAGUCCUUAAUUUAGCCAACUCAUGAAUCCAAACAAGAAUCUCAAGGCAACCUCUAUGCCUAUAAAAUGCAAAUUGUCUGGUUUUAGUAAACCUGAACCUACAUCCUCUUCCUUGAAAGCAACCUGUUUCUCUUUGCAUGUACUUCCUCCUGUUCUUCUAAGUAUUUAUACAGCCAUUGGUUUACCUUGGGUUUCUUGAUAUUAACAAUGGAAUGGAGUUUCCGCCAUUUGUUUGCAAACCACUAUGAAAACAAACACCAGGUUUACACAACUAGACCAGAAAUUAUUUCAAAAGAGUCUGUGAAUCACAUAGACACACGUCACAACUGUCCAGGAUGAAUUGCUGAGUGUUAAAGUAAUGAACAAAAUUAACAUUAACAAAUGUGUUUCAGUUAAGGUAACAAACUCAACUACAUCUUGAAUAACCUGUGGGAUAUUGGACGCAGUGCAUGUAUAUAGUCCUGGGCUCAAAGAUGCAGCUGUCAGAACAGGCUGAUCAGCCUUCUCCUGAAGGUUUGAGGAGGACCAGACAUACACAGGAGGUGGGUUACCCUCCGCAGUACAAUCCAGCACCGUUUCACUGUCCUCACUGAUGUCCAGUGUCUCUUCCUCUGGACUGCGGAAGAUCGGCGGGUCUGAUGAAAAACAAAAUUUUACAAAGGUUUAACAUUACUAGCUAAAAUGUCUUCACUAUUGAGUACUGUUGACUUUAUUCACCUACAUUGAACAGCAAUGUUGAGAACUUCAGACUGAACUGUUGGAGGAGGUCGAGGUCCUUCUGCUCCCAGUUCCAGCUGUGCUUCACACCUGUAUUGAGCUCCAUUAUCAGCUCUGUUUGGGACAAUCAGCAAGGUGGAGGACACCUGGACUGGUGUUGCAGGGGAUAACUCUGAGAACGAGUGGUUGUAAACCUCAGUUUUUCCUCUGUACCAUCGUAAAACAAGGUACUGGACAGGUGCGACGUUCUGCACCUCACACUGUAGCUGGUACUCUCUUCCUUCCACCACUGGACUGCUGUGAUUUACUAAACUUAUGGACACACUGUCUGGUUUCUCUGCGUGAAGACAAUUGCAAAGUUAUACAAAGGCAUUUAAUGGAGAAAAAAUAUUAGUUUAGACCAGUCUGAACCAGCUUAAAUACCAAAGUGGUUUUGUUUUAGAUGGUUAGUGCUGGUCUGUUUCUGGCACAAGUCGACCUGUUUUACCAGUGUAACCAUGUUAAAAGUGGCAACCAAAAGGAUAGUUUGCACCAAAAUGACAACUGUGUCAUUGUUUACUCACCUUCAUCAUUCCUUGAUGAUCUUUUUCUUCACCAACUCUCUUGAAAUUUUAAUUCUGCUUAUGUUCAUUUAAAAAUGCUGCCACUUAGACUCAGAAAAAUGUUUCGUAAGUAAUAUGUGCAAUGAGUAGCACUAAAAGUUCAGUUUUAUCUGAAACAGAUUAACUUUCCUCUGGAAAUGCUUUAUCACAUUGGUUGUUUUAUGUUUCAUGACAGUACAGAAAUUAAAUGUAAUGAUUAUUAGUGCUGAGCCGUUAAUAUGAUCAUAUACACCCUAAACCCUACCAUAACCCUAACUAACCAGUGUUGUUAACAAAAGAAAGUGUGAGAAGAGAAACAAACACAUUUGCUGAAGCAACAAUGCCAUUGUAGCUUGCUUCUACAAGUCACAUGCCUUGAGUUUCAUGAGACUCAUACCGCAAACGCAGUGCUUUACCAGGUGACCAAUUUCACCAAGCCAGAAAAGCCACACAUAUGAGGCUGGUUAUGUGAUUAAAUGCCAAAACCUAUAAUGUGUAAGAAACCAUGUGAAAAUCAGUCUAUAAGAAUGGAUAAUCUGCGUUUGGUCCAAUUCUCGCUACUAGCAAACCAUUAACUACGACUUGUGCCUCAAUAAAAUUGGCUGCUUCUUUAGUUAGUUGUUAAGUUUAGGUAUUGGGUAGGAUUAGGGAUGUGGAAUGUGGUCAUGCAGAAUAUGUGCUUUAUAAGUAUUAAUUAACAACCAAUGUGUUAAUAAUCUGCAUUCUAAAAAGCAGCUAAUUAAUAGUGAAAAUUGUUCGCUAUACUAAAGUGUUACCGAUACUAAGCUGGUCAUUUGAAGCUAGAUGCAUCUAAUCAACUCCAACUUUUUAUUCUUCAGGAGAUUGUUUUAAAUACUCUACUUACUGUAUAGAACAAGGUUGAGUUUUUCCUCACACUGUCUGGGUGCAGUGAAAAAAACACCAUAGCAGAUUGGCUCCUCAAUCCAGUCAGUCAAACUGUCCACCUGCCACUGAACGCUGAGGUCAUUCUGAGUGUGCGAUGCGGCAAUGACCGAUUCCCAUCCCAGCACGCGCACUGGACGCGAAGCCACACAGCUGACCGACACCGGAUCCCCAAAUUUCACCACUACUCUGGAGGGAGAUAUCUCUAGCGAGCAACUGUCAGUGGACACUGAAGGAGAGAAACAUCUUACCUAUUCCAAUAAUGGACAGACCGAGGAAGCAAAAGAGAUUGUUUUUCAUUUUGAUGAAAAUGGUUGAAAUCUGCUAUAGUCCGCACACAGAGGCGAGAGGAAUUCCGACUUGGUCUUGCUUGG